UCAGUAGUCAGGAAGCCCUUACCCCAAAAAGUAUUUGCGAGGGAUAAGGUCAGCGGGGAAGAAAGGCCGGGGGACCUGAGGCCGAAGGCGGGACUCAGAGCAGGCUCCCGAUGAAGAGAUUCGUCCCCCCAAGAGGAAGGAAAUCGAGUCCGGCUGGACUCCCCGCUUGCGAAGGCGAAGCUUGUGGUGGUGGAGGAAAGUGUCCAAGCAGGGACCCCGGAGCCCUCCAUGGAGUCACAGGCCAGGGUUCGCUCUGGCACGGAGCAGAGAGAGGGCUGGGGCCCGAUGGCUCCCCAGGACGACGAGACACCCCAGCUGCUCCCUGGCCUGGCUUGCUCCUAGCACCGAGCGGCUGAGGAAGAGGCGUGGGAGAGCGGCUCCUCCAACCAAAAGGAAACGCGAGCCCCACAGCACCCUGCUCAGGCUCCGGCGCUGCGAACUCCUGGCUCAUGUUCCCUCCUUCCUCAUGUAGCGCCUCCUGUGGCCAGAACAGGCGUGUGGCCCAGGAAUGCUGGGUGGGGAGGACGGAGCCAGGGCCUCUGCAGGGCAGCCUGGGUGUGCACGCGAGGCAGCGAGAGACCUCAGCAGGCGUCUGUCUGCCCGGCGCACCGGAGCCGCCCACGCUCCCCAGCAGGGCUGUGUGUGGCACAGAGAGGGGCUUGGCCAGCGCCCAGAUGUGGGACCAUGCAAUGAGGUGCAAGGAUAGACAGAUGUUGGGCUGUGGGGAGACAUCCCUCCCUGCCCGGAGCUGGCUCCGUGCUCUCUGCCAGCCCCCGGAGGGCAGAGUGCUGUGGGAACACCCCAUCUACUGGGUCUCAAGGACCAAAAUGUCACUGACUUUAAGGCCAGCACUUCCACAGCCUGUGUGCACCCCAGAACUGGACCAGCGGCCGCCCCAGUGCUGAGUACAGAGAUCACGUCCCUCCUACUGCUGCUCUGGCCCUGUUCGUACAGCCCAGCAUCUCAUGAACCCUUUAAGCCACAGCACGGCAGUGAGAAUAACGCGGGUAGACAGGAUUAGCUCGGGGGACCUGGGUGUUUGCUCCCCUUCCCGAGAAGUAACAUCCUGAGCCAGACACCCCACCCCAUACACUCCCUGUAU